rfam:Ictidomys tridecemlineatus contig047295, whole genome shotgun sequence.
GGGGUUGUGGCUCAGUGGUAGAGCACUUGCCUCACAUGCUUGGGGCACUGGGUUUGAUCCUCAGCACCA